AUUUAUCACCUCAUCCUCCACCGCCGCCGGUUGCUGCCCGUCCGCCGUAGUACUCACCACCUUAUGCGUCUGCGUCUCUAUCUCCGCCGGUGAUUUAUCUUCAGCUUUGGCCACUGCCGACUGUAGAACACAAGCUCCAAUAGCAAUGAAUGGAGUAAUGAUCACAUCCCGCCGUUUCGCCUGACGGCCACUGGCCGUCGCAGAUACACUGAGCCGCCGAAUGGAAUAUUCCGGCGCAAAUUUUGUUAAAUUCUGAUUAAAUCGCCGGCGAAUUGGGUUUAUGCGUGGUUUAAGACUUGAGCAUUGAAGAGUGGCGGGUUUCAUUUUUGUGUUUUUUUUCCGGUUAUCGGCCGGGCACCGGAGGUGGUCCAAUUGAUAACGUAUUUUAUUUGAGCCUUGUGGUUGUUUUGAUUUUAUUUUUUUUGAUUUUC
rnacentral:lncRNA from 1 species